rnacentral:rRNA from 1 species
AUUGAACGCUGGUGGUAUGCUUAACACAUGCAAGUCGAACGGGGCGCUUCGGCGCCUAGUGGCGGACGGGUGAGUAAAGCGUAGGAAUCUGCCUUGCAGUGGGGGACGAACCUGGGGAAACGUCAGGCUAAUACCGCAUACGCUCGCGAGAGGAAAGCGGGGGAGUCUUCGGACCUCGCGCCGCAAGAAGAGCCUACGUCCGAUUAGCUAGUUGGUAGGGUAAAAGCCUACCAAGGCGACGAUCGGUAGCUGGUCUGAGAGGAUGAUCAGCCACACUGGGACUGAGACACGGCCCAGACUCCUACGGGAGGCAGCAGUGGGGAAUAUUGGACAAUGGGCGCAAGCCUGAUCCAGCAAUGCCGCGUGGGUGAAGAAGGCCUGCGGGUUGUAAAGCCCUUUAAGUGGGGAGGAACGGCGGGAUGCGAACAGUGUUCUGCUCUGACGUUACCCACAGAAUAAGCACCGGCUAACUCCGUGCCAGCAGCCGCGGUAAAGUCAG